UACAGAGGGGGCAAGCGUUGUUCGGAAUUACUGGGCGUAAAGGGCGCGUAGGCGGCCUGUUAAGUCGAACGUGAAAUCCCCGGGCUCAACCCGGGAACUGCGUCCGAUACUGGCUGGCUUGAAUCCGGGAGAGGGAUGCGGAAUUCCAGGUGUAGCGGUGAAAUGCGUAGAUAUCGUAAGGAAGACCAGUGGCGAAGGCGGGUCUCUGGACAGUUCCUGACGCUGAGGCACGAAGGCCAGGGGAGCAAACGGG
rnacentral:rRNA from 1 species